CCUUGAGUUCUCCAUUGUACCUAGAAAUACGUAGGAGUGAGAUUUAACGUCUCGUCAGGCACCUUAAUAAAAAACCUAUUCUUAGUCUUUUCCUUUUUUCUCUCAAACUUUUAAUAAGAAGAAGAAAGAAAACAAACAAAAGCUAACAUUCUAAUUGCAAAUCUAACUAAAUGCUCCCGUUGAGUACAACGAAUAUGAGGGGUGCUAAUACCUUCCCCUCAUAUAAUCGAC
rnacentral:lncRNA from 1 species